rnacentral:rRNA from 1 species
GACGAACGCUGGCGGCGUGCCUAACACAUGCAAGUCGAACGGGGUAAAUUGCUUCGGUGAUUUACUUAGUGGCGAACGGGUGAGUAACGCGUGAGAAACCUGCCUUUCAGUGGGGGACAACAGUUGGAAACGACUGCUAAUACCGCAUAAUGUUAUUUGGGGGCAUCCCUGAAUAACCAAAGCUUAAUGUGCUGAAAGAUGGUCUCGCGUCUGAUUAGCUAGAUGGCGGGGUAACGGCCCACCAUGGCGACGAUCAGUAGCCGGUCUGAGAGGAUGAACGGCCACAUUGGGACUGAGAUACGGCCCAGACUCCUACGGGAGGCAGCAGUGGGGGAAUAUUGGGCAAUGGGGGAAACCCUGACCCAGCAACGCCGCGUGAAGGAAGAAGGGCCCUUCGGGUUGUAAACUUCUUUUACCAGGGACGAAGGACGCGACGGUACCUAGAG